UAUUUGAUGUAUGUAUAUUUGUUUGUGUGAUAUAGUCUGCUUGUUGUGCUUGGUGAUCUCUGAGUGGUGAGAUAAGUUCUAACCCAAACUUGAGUGCAAUUAAGAUAGGAGGAUGGUAUAGUCAUGUUCGACUUGUGUGGAGUAGUCCUUAACAAGUUGGCUAGUGGUGAGAUAAGUUCUAACCCAAACUUGAGUGCAAUUAAGAUAGGAGGAUGGUAUAGUCAUGUUCGACUUGUGUGGAGUAGUCCUUAACAAGUUGGCUUGAGACCCAUCUGCUCAGUGG
rnacentral:lncRNA from 1 species